rnacentral:tRNA from 1 species
GGGAUUGUAACUCAGAGGUAGAGUGCUCGCCUUCGCAUGUGAGAAGACCAGAGUUCAAUCCUGUGAAACUCCA